rnacentral:rRNA from 1 species
GUUCCGACCUGCACGAAUGGCGUAAUGAUGGCCACACUGUCUCCUCCUGAGACUCAGCGAAGUUGAAAAUGUUUGUGAAGAUGCAAUCUCCCCCGCGGCUAGACGGAAAGACCCCAUGAAACCUUUUACUGUAGCUUUGCAUUGGACUUUGACGGGACUUGUGUAGGAUAGGUGGGAGGCUGUGAGGCGUGGUCGCCAGAUCGCGCGGAGCCGACGUUGAAAUACCACCCUGGUGUCGUUGAGGUUCUAACCUUGGUCCGUGAAUCCGGAUCGGGGACCGUGCAUGGCAGGCAGUUUGACUGGGGCGGUCUCCUCCCAAAGUGUAACGGAGGAGUACGAAGGUCUUCUAAGCACGGUCGGACAUCGUGCUCAUAGUGCAAUGGCAAAAGAAGGCUUGACUGCGAGUCCCACAAGACGAGCAGGUGCGAAAGCAGGUCAUAGUGAUCCGGUGGUUCUGUAUGGAAGGGCCAUCGCUCAACGGAUAAAAGGUACUCUGGGG